UAGCGUAGGCAGCAAGCGUUGUUCGGAGGUUACUGGGCGUAAAGAGCUCGUAGGCGGUUUGUCGCGUCUGCUGAUGAAAACUGGAGGCUCAACCUCCAGCCUGCAGUGGGUUACGGGACAGACUAGAGUGCGGUAGGGGAGGAUUGGAAUUCCUGGGUGUAAGCGGUGGAAUGCGCAGAAUAUCAGGAAGAACACCUAUGGGCGAAGGCAGCUCUCUGGGACGGUACUGACGCUGAGACGCGAAAGCGUGGGGAGC
rnacentral:rRNA from 1 species